rnacentral:rRNA from 1 species
AUUGAACGCUGGCGGCAUGCUUUACACAUGCAAGUCGAACAGUAACAGGCCGCAAGGUGCUGACGAGUGGCGAACGGGUGAGUAAUGCAUCGGAACGUGCCCAGUCGUGGGGGAUAACGCAGCGAAAGCUGCGCUAAUACCGCAUACGAUCUAUGGAUGAAAGCGGGGGACCGUAAGGCCUCGCGCGAUUGGAGCGGCCGAUGUCAGAUUAGGUAGUUGGUGGGGUAAAGGCUCACCAAGCCAACGAUCUGUAGCUGGUCUGAGAGGACGACCAGCCACACUGGGACUGAGACACGGCCCAGACUCCUACGGGAGGCAGCAGUGGGGAAUUUUGGACAAUGGGCGCAAGCCUGAUCCAGCAAUGCCGCGUGCAGGAAGAAGGCCUUCGGGUUGUAAACUGCUUUUGUACGGAACGAAAAGGCUCUGGAUAAUACCUGGGGCUCAUGACGGUACCGUAAGAAUAAGCACCGGCUAACUACGUGCCAGCCGCCGCCGUAACAC